AUGUUAGUAACUUGUACAGGUUUUAAGAGAAAAGCCAACAGGAUUUAGUGGAAGAGAAGAAACUGUGAAAAUUAACAAGCAGGUCGUCGACGUUGGCAAAAAACUGUUUUGUUGAACGGAGAGGACGUGACAGAGACAAGGAAAGAGAAAGAACAAUUUUUAAAGUACGUAAUCGUGCAGAGGACUUUCAAAGUUUGAGAAAUGUCAUAGUGGCAGAUUCUUCCCACACCUCUGUGAGGCUCAGUCACAAUCUUCAGGGAAAAAAGGAAGAGAUGAUAAGAUUUUAUUCCUCUCCCAGUCUACCCUCUGACUAUUCCACAUCCCAUACCUCCUCCCUCCAUCUCCACAAGGAUGUCUUCCCACCCACUCCACCAGACCUCUGCACUCCCUGGGGCCUCCAGUCAAAACUCUGAAGCAUAAUUGUUCCUGUCUGAAAGAACUGCAAGGACGACAGUGGAGAAGAGCCUGAGGGAAGGGAGGUCCAGCAACAGGCCCAAAGUUGGAUCUAGCCCAAGGUCUCACACUAUUACUGAGUGUCAAAGAAAAGGGUCCUGCCAUGAUUGCUCUCCAAAAGGUCCAACAAGCAGCUCAAAGAGUCAGAUGCAGAUAUGUGCACCCAACCGAAGGACAGAAGCUGCUGACCCCUGUGGUUGAAUUAGGGGAAAGCUGGAAGAAGCUGAGGAGGAGGGUGACCCUGUAGGAGGACCAGCAGUCUCAAUUAACCUGAACCCUGAGAUCUCUCAGACACUGCAUCACCAACCAGACAGCAUACACCAGCUGAAUCUUCUAUUUAAUAAGGAAACAGUAUCUUGUCACAGAAUUUAGUCAAAUACUUUGUGCUAUGUUGGACAGAGAUCUCCUGAGCAGCAAGCUGUCUGAAGGAUUCAGGACUCAUUCUGGCAAAAUUGAUGUUUGCGAAGAACUAAGAACAUUGAGGUUAUUUGGACAUGGUCCCAUGUCGACCUAAAUUUUAUUUCCUGGCCACCUUGUUCACUUGAGUUAACUAUGAUUCAUGUCAGAUAUGAUUUGUAAUUUUCAUUCAGUCUUACCAAUGUUUCAAGUGUCA